UACGAAGGGUGCAAGCGUUACUCGGAAUUACUGGGCGUAAAGCGUGCGUAGGCGGUUUGUUAAGUCCGUUGUGAAAGCCCCGGGCUUAACCUGGGAAUGGCCGUUGAAACUGGCGAACUGGAGUGUGGCAGAGGGGGGUGGAAUUCCUGGUGUAGCGGUGAAAUGCGCAGAUAUCAGGAGGAACACCAAUGGCGAAGGCAGCUCGCUGGGACGGUACUGACGCUGAGACGCGAAAGCGUGGGGAGCAAACAGG
rnacentral:rRNA from 1 species